rnacentral:lncRNA from 1 species
CCUGUGGACAAAUACAUACUCGCUUUAUCCCAGCGCAGUUGUGAUGCUUACUGACUUUUUUCUAGCUCUUGCUCUGCUGCUAAUAACUAGCUCACACCAAGUUCUGAUCUCACUGAUUGGGAAAGAGCUUAAUAGAGCAUGGUGGUUAUGCUCUUGGCCACACAAGCUGGAGUUUAAAUCUCAGCUCCACUUAGUAACGUGGCUAUGUGCUUUAGGUCAGACACUGCAUCUCUUUAGGCUUCCACUUUCUUUUCUGUGAAAUAGAAUGAGGAUGUUUGCUAUACCUGUGUCAGAGUUGACGAGUGGGAAGAAUGGGCUAAUGACGUGCAAAUGCAUCCUAAAGGCCUGUGUUACUCAGUGAAGAUAAAGGUUUAAAAAUUCUAAAAUCCUUAGAAGAGACUUGUAUAAAGGAAACUGAAAAUGCCUGACUAUGGAGUCACCAAUUUAGAGACUAAAAGAAACUUUGGGUUUUCAGUGGCAAAGGGAGAAAGAGAAAGAAGGAUUUCAGCACGCCUGGAUGUGACCAACUUUUGUGGAGUCGAGUCAGUUGGCUUCAUUAUUCCCCUGCAACAUUUCCUUUGCACUCGUCGAUUUCCAUGGCUACAUGAUGAUUACUUCCUGAGAAACAAAGGAACACAUGUGUUUGGAAGUAAAAAGGAAGCAUACAGAUCACCUAUUGAACCACAGCCCUGUAAAACCUGAAAUCUCCCUGGACAACCCACUUCCUGAAAAAUGACUCAGCAAAAGCUCCCAAGAAGAACUGCUCAUGUUUAAUACAAUCGUUCGGGCCAGCGCUUAUUUCUUAUCUAUAAAGUCCCCUUGUGAUUGAUGAUUCAUGUUUCUUUUCAAUUACGGGCUUUGAAUGCAAACUAUUUCUUAAUGUAAACAAAUGGCUUCAGUAUUUAAAGCAAAACAUUUCCGUUUGUUUAGUACUAUUUCCUAUUUUAUGCCUGAAACCAUAUUUUUGAGAGAAUUGUUUGGUUUCAAAAGAGGGGAAAGAGAAUGAUUGUUUAGAAGAAUGUGUGCGAAGGAGGGGUGCGUUCGUCAAGGGCAGCCUGCCAGAUGAGUGGGGACU